rnacentral:rRNA from 1 species
UACGUAGGGGGCAAGCGUUGUCCGGAAUUACUGGGCGUAAAGAGCUCGUAGGUGGUUUGUCGCGUUGUUCGUGAAAACUCACAGCUUAACUGUGGGCGUGCGGGCGAUACUGGCAGACUGGAGUACUGCAGGGGAGACUGGAAUUCCUGGUGUAGCGGUGGAAUGCGCAGAUAUCAGGAGGAACACCCGUGGCGAAGGCGGGUCUCUGGGAAGUAACUGACGCUGAGGAGCGAAAGCGUGGGGAGCGAACAGG